CUAUACAUGACUCUGCGCAUAUCAAUAAGCGGAGGAAAAGAAACUAACAAGGAUUCCCCUAGUAACGGCGAGUGAAGCGGGAAGAGCUCAAAUUUGAAAUCUUAAAGGGUUUCCCUUUACGAAUUGUAGUUUAAAGAAGUGUUUUCUGUUGAGGUUUCGGUAAAAGUUCUUUGGAAUAGGACAUCAUAGAGGGUGAGAAUCCCGUAUUUGACCUUUACUUUCAACUUUGUGAUACACUUUCAAAGAGUCGGAUUGUUUGGGAAUGCAGUCCAAAGUGGGUGGUAAAUUUCAUCUAAAGCUAAAUAUUGGCGAGAGACCGAUAGCGAACAAGUACCGUGAGGGAAAGAUGAAAAGAACUUUGAAAAGAGAGUUAAACAGUACGUGAAAUUGUCAAAAGGGAAGCGUUUGACACCAGUGUUGUUUUUCUGAAAAUCAAUUAAAGAACUGUUUAUGCUAAGCUUGUUUAGACUUUAUCAGCUAUCUGUUUAGUUUUGAGCUUUUCUUUAAUGCACUUUUCAGUUAACAAGUCAACAUCAAUUUCUUUUGCUGUAAAAAAGCUUGAGGAAGGUGGCUUGAGAUUCGUCUUAAGUGUUUAUAGCCUCUUGCCUAUGCAGUCGGAGAGAUUGAGGUCUGCAGCGUAGAUCCUUCGGGGCUAAAUGCAUUUGUGCUAAGUUAUAGCAUUUUAUAGACAACUUGUUGACUAUGAUUUGUCUUGUAGCUUACUCGCUUAUGUUAUUUUACCUACGCUUAGGAUGUUGAUCUACAGAGCGAGAGU
rnacentral:rRNA from 1 species